GACGAACGCUGGCGGCGUGCUUAACACAUGCAAGUCGAACGGAAAGGCCCUGCGUUUGUGGGGUGCUCGAGUGGCGAACGGGUGAGUAACACGUGAGUAACCUGCCCUUGACUUUGGGAUAACUUCAGGAAACUGGGGCUAAUACCGGAUAGGAGCUCCUGCAGCAUGGUGGGGGUUGGAAAGUUUCGGCGGUUGGGGAUGGACUAGCGGCUUAUGAGCUUGAUGGUGGGGUAGGGGCUGACCAAGGCUUUGACGGGUAGCCGGCCUGAGAGGUUGGCCGGCCACCUUGGUCCUGCGGGACGCCCCAGUCUCCUACGUGCGGCAGCAGUGGGGAAUAUUGCACAGUGGGCGCACGCCUGAUGCAGCAACCCUCCGUUCGGAAUGACGGCCUUCUGGUUGUAAACCGCUUUCGCCUGUGACGAAGCGUUAUUGACGGUACUGGGUAAAGAAGCACCGGCUAACUACGUG
rnacentral:rRNA from 1 species